rnacentral:rRNA from 1 species
UACGUAGGGAGCAAGCGUUGUCCGGAAUCAUUGGGCGUAAAGCGCGUGUAGGCGGUCCGGUAAGUCCGCUGUGAAAGUCGGGGGCUCAACCCUCGGAUGCCGGUGGAUACUGUCGGGCUUGAGUACGGAAGAGGCGAGUGGAAUUCCUGGUGUAGCGGUGAAAUGCGCAGAUAUCAGGAGGAACACCAAUUGCGAAGGCAGCUCGCUGGGACGUUACUGACGCUGAGACGCGAAAGCGUGGGGAGCAAACAGG